rnacentral:rRNA from 1 species
CCUACGGGUGGCAGCAGUGAGGAAUAUUGGUCAAUGGACGAGAGUCUGAACCAGCCAAGUAGCGUGAAGGAUGACUGCCCUAUGGGCUGUAAACUUCUUUCAUAUGGGAAUAAAAUGUUCCAUGUGCGGGAUUUUGUAUGUACCAUACGAAUAAGGAUCGGCCAACUCCGUGCCAGCAGCCGCGGUAAUACGGAGGAUCCGAGCGUUAUCCGGAUUUAUUGGGUUUAAAGGGAGCGUAGGUGGGUUGUCAAUUCAGUGGUGAUAGUUCGCGGCUCAACCGUAAGAUUGCAGUUGAAACUGGCAGUCUUGAGUGCAGUAGAGGUGAGCGGAAUUCGUGGUGUAGCGGUGAAAUGCUUAGAUAUCACGAAGAACUCCGAUUGCGAAGGCAGCUCACUGGACUGCAACUGACACUGAGGCUCGAAAGUGUGGGUAUCAAACAGGAUUAGAUACCCCUGUAGUC